GUCGGCAGUGGAUCAGAGACGAGAGUUCGUCCGGCUUGCGAUGCAGGAGGGAGCGAACCGGCGGGAGUUGUGCCGGCGGUUCGGCAUUCAUUGGACGACC
rnacentral:tRNA from 1 species